rnacentral:rRNA from 1 species
GAUGAACGCUAGCGGCAGGCUUAACACAUGCAAGUCGAGGGGCAGCAUAAUGAAGUAGCAAUACGGAAUUGAUGGCGACCGGCGCACGGGUGCGUAACGCGUAUGUAACCUACCUCUAACAGGGGGAUAACACUGAGAAAUUGGUACUAAUACCCCAUAACACUUGAUAGGGCAUCCUAUUGAGUUGAAAGUUCCGGCGGUUAGAGAUGGACAUGCGUUGUAUUAGCUAGAUGGUGAGGUAACGGCUCACCAUGGCGACGAUACAUAGGGGGACUGAGAGGUUAACCCCCACACUGGUACUGAGACACGGACCAGACUCCUACGGGAGGCAGCAGUGAGGAAUAUUGGUCAAUGGACGCAAGUCUGAACCAGCCAUGCCGCGUGCAGGAUGACGGCUCUAUGAGUUGUAAACUGCUUUUGUACAAGGGUAAACCCCGAUACGUGUAUCGGGCUGAAAGUACUGUACGAAUAAGGAUCGGCUAACUCCGU